rnacentral:rRNA from 1 species
GCUUAACACAUGCAAGUCGAGGGGCAUCAGGAAGAAAGCUUGCUUUCUUUGCUGGCGACCGGCGCACGGGUGAGUAACACGUAUCCAACCUGCCCUUUACUCGGGGAUAGCCUUUCGAAAGAAAGAUUAAUACCCGAUAGCAUAAUGAUUCCGCAUGGUUUCAUUAUUAAAGGAUUCCGGUAAAGGAUGGGGAUGCGUUCCAUUAGGUUGUUGGUGAGGUAACGGCCCACCAAGCCUUCGAUGGAUAGGGGUUCUGAGAGGAAGGUCCCCCACAUUGGAACUGAGACACGGUCCAAACUCCUACGGGAGGCAGCAGUGAGGAAUAUUGGUCAAUGGGCGCUAGCCUGAACCAGCCAAGUAGCGUGAAGGAUGAAGGCUCUAUGGGUCGUAAACUUCUUUUAUAUAAGAAUAAAGUGCAGUAUGCAUACUGUUUUGUAUGUAUUAUAUGAAUAAGGAUCGGCUAACUCCGUGCCAGCAGCCGCGGUAAUACGGAGGAUCCGAGCGUUAUCCGGAUUUAUUGGGUUUAAAGGGAGCGUAGGUGGACUGGUAAGUCAGUUGUGAAAGUUUGCGGCUCAACCGUAAAAUUGCAGUUGAUACUGUCAGUCUUGAGUACAGUAGAGGUGGGCGGAAUUCGUGGUGUAGCGGUGAAAUGCUUAGAUAUCACGAAGAACUCCGAUUGCGAAGGCAGCUCACUGGACUGCAACUGACACUGAUGCUCGAAAGUGUGGGUAUCAAACAGGAUUAGAUACCCUGGUAGUCCACACAGUAAACGAUGAAUACUCGCUGUUUGCGAUAUACAGUAAGCGGCCAAGCGAAAGCAUUAAGUAUUCCACCUGGGGAGUACGCCGGCAACGGUGAAACUCAAAGGAAUUGACGGGGGCCCGCACAAGCGGAGGAACAUGUGGUUUAAUUCGAUGAUACGCGAGGAACCUUACCCGGGCUUAAAUUGCAGUGGAAUGAUGUGGAAACAUGUCAGUGAGCAAUCACCGCUGUGAAGGUGCUGCAUGGUUGUCGUCAGCUCGUGCCGUGAGGUGUCGGCUUAAGUGCCAUAACGAGCGCAACCCUUAUCUUUAGUUACUAACAGGUUAUGCUGAGGACUCUAGAGAGACUGCCGUCGUAAGAUGUGAGGAAGGUGGGGAUGACGUCAAAUCAGCACGGCCCUUACGUCCGGGGCUACACACGUGUUACAAUGGGGGGUACAGAAGGCAGCUAGCGGGUGACCGUAUGCUAAUCCCAAAAUCCUCUCUCAGUUCGGAUCGAAGUCUGCAACCCGACUUCGUGAAGCUGGAUUCGCUAGUAAUCGCGCAUCAGCCACGGCGCGGUGAAUACGUUCCCGGGCCUUGUACACACCGCCCGUCAAGCCAUGGGAGCCGGGGGUACCUGAAGUACGUAACAGCAAGGAUCGUCCUAGGGUAAAACUGGUGACUGGGGCUAA